CCGCAUAUAACAAUCGCUCCACCCCCGUAUUCUCCUGCUCCUAUCCCCUCCAGAAUUCUCGCCACCACCAGAUCGGAGCUCCUCCGAUCCACCCGGCCCAGCCAGGUUGAACGCCGCCCCGUUCUCAUCUGCGAGAUCCCGGUUGCCGCCUCACCCACGACCCUCUCCUCCGCGGCCCAGUCCGCUCGAACGCCGCCGCCCUCCUCACUGGCGGGAUCGGAGCCGCCAGCCUCACCCGCGGGAUCGGAGCCGCCGGCCACCGCCCACCUUGCCUGAAGGAUCGGAUACCACUACUCUUCUACACCGACCCAUCACCGGCCACCGGUGGUGCAUCACCUGCUUCGCCUUACUGUGCCGUUUCGAAGAAGCUGUGGGUGGAAAUUCCCGAACUGCUGCGCCGAUGGUGGUGUGAUGCCGGCGAUGGGUCAGCUGGCAAUUCGAUAUGCGAGGAUGUCGCUGCCAACUCGGGAGAGAAAAUGGAACAUAUAUCAAUCUUGUAAUGGAUGUUCGGGAUGCUUUUGAGGGAAAUGAUUUGGUCAAAUGUUGAUUGCGAGGGUUUGGAACCAAGUGACAGCAAAAAAAAUGAAGCAAAGCUGAAGGUUCUCAUCCCCCCAUAGCCAUUAUGUUACCAUGUAGUUACAGAUGAUGGAAAUAUAUCAUGUACUACUUCUGAACCAAAAUAUAAGACAUUUUUGUAGGCUAAACUAGCCUACUAAAACGUCUUAUAUUUUGAUACGGAGGGAGUAUAUACUUUCUUAUACCCUAAACAAAAAAUAUGUGGUUCUCUAUGUGUAGGAUCUUGUUCCUUGUGUUCUCCUGUCAUUUGACAAUGAGCAGAUAUUAAUCUACAGAGGCAGUGAAUGGAACUCUAGAUACUCAGCCUCCCACUAUCACUCCAAAAGUUCAAAAGAAUAAUCUGACAGUGUCAACUGCUUUGAGUAACUCAGGAUGGGUGGUUAGAAGAGCUGGAAGGGAAGGCGCAAGAACAUGAUAAGAAGGAUGUUGCACAACAAGAGAAGAUAAAGGAGCUCUAGAUUGUUGUAGAGAAGAUUAUCAGUUUUUACUGGCGGCCGUUAGAAGCUGUACAGAAGAUGAUGCAUUUUAUUAGAUUCAAGUGAGAUUAUUCAGAUUUGCAUAAAAAAGCUGUAUAGAAGUUUAUGCAUUUUUAUUAGAUUCAAGUGAGAUUAUUCAGAUUUGCAUAAAAAGUGCCGAGGAUCGUGCAAAGCUAAAUUAUCUUUGUUGU